rnacentral:lncRNA from 1 species
UAUUUUAGAGAAGUCUAUUCCCCAUCACCCCCUUGCAGUGUGAAGCCAUUGAUGCUGAUUCUUGGGAUGGGGGUGGGAGACUUCCUUAUAGUUGCCUUGGGAGUGGUUUUAGAAGAUUGCUUUCUGGCUCUCUUUCCCUGAGCAGUUAUAGAAAUGGAGCUCAACCAAUUGCUGGCUGAUUGUUCUGUUGUUUUCAACAAUGGACUGUGGCAUAAAUUGUUCCACUCACUGAUCCAGUAAAUUUAAAGGGAAAACUCUUAUGGUAAGCACUUGAGGUUUCUUCUGCCCAGGAGUGAUCCUCUUAGAUGUCUCUUCCAGCUAUGUAGCAGUCCUUCAAUUUAUCUAUAUCUCCAAUAAAUCUGUCAAUCUCUUCCCAACUGACUUUCACCACAACCUUCACUGUUUUUGAGAUUAUAUUUGAAACUCUCUCCAUUGCAAAUGAAGGUAGAGCCUUUGGAGAAAGAUUUGGACCUCUGUCUCCUAUAGCUUGCCCCUUCCAUGGGCAAAAUCUCUUGAGUCACAGCUGUCCUGGGGGCAGAGACAAUGGGUGUUUCUGACUGAGUGACACUUCCACUUUAAGAGUUUGGUGCUGGGUGAAGGGGAACACAGCCCUGGGUCUCUCUCCUCACCUCUGCCAGCAUGGAAGCACAGCUCCAGGAGCCAAGGCAAGGUCAGUCAGGCCCAGUACUCUGAGUGGUGCUGUGCCUAAGGUAGAGCCUUGCUCUCACCAGUGGGGACUGGGUGGAGGAAAGGAGGUCCUACCUACUGCACUCAGCCAC